UACGGAGGGAGCUAGCGUUGUUCGGAGUUACUGGGCGUAAAGCGCACGUAGGCGGCUUUGUAAGUUAGAGGUGAAAGCCUGGAGCUCAACUCCAGAAUUGCCUUUAAGACUGCAUCGCUUGAAUCCAGGAGAGGUGAGUGGAAUUCCGAGUGUAGAGGUGAAAUUCGUAGAUAUUCGGAAGAACACCAGUGGCGAAGGCGGCUCACUGGACUGGUAUUGACGCUGAGGUGCGAAAAGCGUGGGGAGCAAACAGG
rnacentral:rRNA from 1 species